GAUGAACGCUGGCGGCGUGCCUAAUACACGCAAGUCGAGCGAACGGACGAGAAGCUUGCUUCUCUGGUGUUAGCGGCGGACGGGUGAGUAACACGUGGAUAACCUACCUAUAAGACUGGGAUAACUUCGGGAAACCGGAGCUAAUACCGUAUAAUAUUUUGAACCUCAUGGUUCAAAAGUGAAAGACGGUCUUGCUGUCACUUAUAGAUGGAUCCGCGCUGCAUUAGCUAGUUGGUAAGGUAACGGCUUACCAAGGCAACGAUGCAUAGCCGACGUGAGAGGGUGAUAGGCCACACUGGAACUGAGACCCGGUCCAGACUCCUACGGGAGGCAGCAGUAGGGAAUCUUCCGCAAUGGGCGAAAGCCUGACGGAGCAACGCCGCGUGAGUGAUGAAGGUCUUCGGAUCGUAAAACUCUGUUAUUGGGGAAGAACAGAUGUGUAAGUAACUGUGCACAUCUUGACGGUACCUAAUCAGAAAGCAACGGCUAACUACGUG
rnacentral:rRNA from 1 species